UUUCGGCCAUAUCAGGUUGAAACACCGGUUGCCUUAUGAUCACUGAAGUUAAGCAGUAUCGAGCCUGGUCAGUAUCUAGAUGGAUAACCAUUUGUGAAUAGAGG